UUCAGACCCAACUACCAGAGGUGACAUCAUUGUGAUCAGCAAAUAGAGACAUGUUCUUCUGAGAAAGAGAGCAAGCAAGGUUAUUCUUAGAGGAGUCAUCAUCUAGUGGGUCGUGCACCAUAGGAAACAGAGACCACAAGCAGCCAGGCACCUUAUCUACUCCUCUGACCUGUACUGUGCUAGAUCCUGGUACCAGCUGAGGACUGUCCCCAUGAAUUACAUUUGGUUACAAAAUCCUGUAUUGUUUCUGACAUUUGAAGACUGAAUCUGCUUUCAUUGCUGCAGCAGUCGUACUUCCUCUAAUGAAACCAAGCUAAGCGUGGUAAGCAUACUGUCUUUGUACAGCUCAGAAGCUGAAGAACUUUGCAGCAUUUGGUAAAUGGAACUAUUGUGUUGUCUUGUCUGCUUACGGCUUGUGUUUCGGUUCCUGAGAAUUUGAGCAAAAGCUGGAGACUUGCACUUAUUCUCCACAUCCUCUGUAAACUAUUUUUGAAUAUGGCUCCUGGAAUCUGAAAGUUAUAUUUAUUCACUGAGUAAUAAUGUUAGUAGUGCCAACAGCAAUAGGAAGUCCACAGUAAGAGU